UACGUAUGGAGCGAGCGUUGUCCGGAAUUAUUGGGCGUAAAGGGUACGCAGGCGGUUAAUAAGUAGAAUGUUAAAGAUCGGGGAUCAACCCCGUAAAGCAUUGGAAACUGAUAAACUUGAGUAGUGGAGAGGAAAGUGGAAUUUCUAGUGUAGUGGUGAAAUACGUAGAUAUUAGGAGGAAUACCAGUAGCGAAGGCGACGUUCUGCACCCAAACUGACGCUGAGGUACGAAAGUGUGGGGAGCAAACAUG
rnacentral:rRNA from 1 species